GAUUUUGAUCCUGGCUCAGGACGAACGCUGGGGGCGUGCUUAACACAUGCAAGUCGAACGGUAAGGCCCCUUCGGGGGUACACGAGUGGCGAACGGGUGAGUAACACGUGGGUAAUCUGCCCUGCACUUCGGGAUAAGCCUGGGAAACUGGGUCUAAUACCGGAUAUGAACUCCUGCCGCAUGGUGGGGGUUGGAAAGUUUUUCGGUGCAGGAUGAGCCCGCGGCCUAUCAGCUUGUUGGUGGGGUAAUGGCCUACCAAGGCGACGACGGGUAGCCGGCCUGAGAGGGUGAUCGGCCACACUGGGACUGAGACACGGCCCAGACUCCUACGGGAGGCAGCAGUGGGGAAUAUUGCACAAUGGGCGAAAGCCUGAUGCAGCGACGCCGCGUGGGGGAUGACGGUCUUCGGAUUGUAAACCCCUUUCAGCAGGGACGAAGCGCAAGUGACGUACCUGCAGAGAAGCCC
rnacentral:rRNA from 1 species